rfam:Myotis brandtii contig156212, whole genome shotgun sequence.
GCUGGUGUGGCUCAGUGGAUAGAGCAUCAGACUGCGGGCUGAAGGGUCCCGGGUUUGAUUCCUGGUCAAGGGCA